AAAAUUGGUAGAUUGAAUUACUAUUUGACUGUGUCUUUUUACAUAAUAAUGAACUUGAAUUUAUAAUCCCUAAUUUCCUUUAAAGUUUGAGGAGAAGCAUGUGAAGAAUGGUUCAGACAAACUCUCACACUGCACUGCAAAAUGAAGUAACAAGAUGUCAUUACUGUUGCUGGUGCAAUGGCUACAAUUGUAAAUGGAAUGAAUUUUAGUGAUUUGGCAGGCAUGAAUUGGGGGCGGGCUUGAAUUGUGAGAGAUGAUGGGAAUUCUCUACGAAUAAAUUUGAGUGAAUUAAUUAUACGGUGAUCAACAUAAAAUUGACUGUAUUUAGUUUAGAAAUUACAUUUUACUCGAUUUUUAUGGCUAUUAUUAUUUUUUAUUAUUU
rnacentral:lncRNA from 1 species